rnacentral:rRNA from 1 species
UGACAGCAGCAGCGGCAAUACGUAGGGAGAGAGCGUUAUCCGGAAUUAUUGGGCGUAAAGCGUGCGUAGGCGGUCCGUUAAGUCAAAUCUGAAAGCCCACAGCUUAACUGUGGAGGGUGAUUUGAAACUGGCGAGCUUGAGUACGGCAGAGGUUAGUGGAAUUCAAUGUGUAGCGGUGGAAUGCGUAGAUAUAUUGAGGAACACCAGUGGCGAAGGCGGCUAACUGGACCGGAACUGACGCUGAUGCACGCAAGCGUUGGUAGCAAACAGGAUUAGAUA